rnacentral:rRNA from 1 species
AUGGGCGUCGGCUGGAGAAUCGAGCCUAUGGUCACCAGCAACCUGUGGUCACCGUUGAGAGGAGGCGACUCGUCGAAUAAAUUCACUCUCACCUGCAUUUCCGACCUGAUGGGCCUGCCGCAAUUCCUCAAGUUCGCAGCCAACGGGUCGUGCACGGGGCGGGGCUGUUGCGAGGCUGAAUUGCCGGAAGCAUUUCCCGUCCCCGAGUUUGGCCUGUGGUUCCGUUCUGGAAGAAACAACACCAAGUUUGAGACCACUCCCUGCUCCUACGCUAUGGUGGUGGAGAAGUCAUGGUACAACUUCACCACGCCGGACCUGUACGGCUAUGCUGUGCUGCCCAAGAGAUUUCCUAGGGGCGUCCCAUUUGUCCUUGAUUUCUUCAUAACGAACGGAUCAUGUCCGCUGAAAGUCCAGCAGCCACCUCCAGACUACGCCUGCGUCAGCGACAACAGCUACUGUGAGAAUGGGACUAGUGGCAAGGGCUAUGUCUGCAAGUGUUUGAAGUUUUACGAUGGCGAUCCUUACAUCCCUGAUGGAUGCCAAGACAUAGACGAGUGCAAGCUCCGAGAGCUAAAUCCUGAGCUCCGUGACUCGUAUCCAUGCUCUAGUGACGGGAUAUGCAAAAACACGUUGGAAGGCUAUGACUGUCCAUACAAGCCAGGAAUGAAAGGCGACGGCAUGAAAGGAACCUGCAUGGAUAAAUUCCCAUUACCAGCAAAGGUGAUUGUGGGUGGAAUAGGGGGUAUUUCUUUAAUGGCAAUCCUAUCAUUCCUUAUUCUUCUUCGCAAAGAGAAAAGGAAAACGAGAGAAUUUUAUAAGAAGAAUGGUGGGCAUGUACUAGAGAAGGCAAAAUUCAUAAAACUUUUCGAAAAGGAGAAGCUCAAGCCAAUUUUGAAGAGUAGCAAUUUUAUUGGAAAAGGUGGAUUUGGAAAAGUUUAUAUGGGCCUUCUUAAUAAUGAACAAGUCGCACUGAAGGAGCCAAUUAGUGGAACUAUCCUAGAGAAUGAACAAUUUGCAAAUGAAGUCAUCAUUCAGUCUCAAGUCAUUCACAAGAAUAUCGUUAGGCUCAUAGGUUGUUGCCUAGAAGUCGAUGCCCCGAUUCUCGUCUAUGAGUUUCUCCCCAAUGGUAGCCUGGACGACAUCCUUCAUGGUGAUGGUAAGGAACCUCUCAACUUAGGCCUGCGCUUAAGUAUGGCUGCAGAAUCAGCAGAUGGCUUUGUUUAUCUGCACACAAAAACCAAUACCAAGAUCCUACAUGGUGACGUGAAACCAGCAAAUAUACUUUUGGAUGAUAAGUUCAUGCCAAAGAUCUCAGUUUUUGGCAUAUCAAGAUUGAUUGCAAGAGACAAACAACACACGGGAUCUAUGAUUGGUGACAUGAGCUAUAUGGAUACGGUGUAUCUACAAACAGGCCUACUAACCGAAAAAAGUGAUGUCUACAGUUUUGGAGUUGUUAUCUUGGAGCUUAUUAGUGGGAUGAAAGCUACACAUUCUGAGGGUGGUAGCUUAGUGACCAAUUUCCUUGAAGCAUACAAAAAGGAGAAGAAAGCAACUCAGUUAUUUGACAAGAAUAUUGCAGUAGCCGAAGAUUUGGAGGUUCUUGAUAGUUUGGCAGGGAUCGUUGUUUAA